CCUAAUACAUGCAAGUUGAGCGAUGAAGAUUGGUGCUUGCACCAAUUUGAAGAGCAGCGAACGGGUGAGUAACGCGUGGGGAAUCUGCCUUUGAGCGGGGGACAACAUUUGGAAACGAAUGCUAAUACCGCAUAACAACUUUAAACAUAAGUUUUAAGUUUGAAAGAUGCAAUUGCAUCACUCAAAGAUGAUCCCGCGUUGUAUUAGCUAGUUGGUGAGGUAAAGGCUCACCAAGGCGAUGAUACAUAGCCGACCUGAGAGGGUGAUCGGCCACAUUGGGACUGAGACACGGCCCAAACUCCUACGGGAGGCAGCAGUAGGGAAUCUUCGGCAAUGGACGAAAGUCUGACCGAGCAACGCCGCGUGAGUGAAGAAGGUUUUCGGAUCGUAAAACUCUGUUGGUAGAGAAGAACGUUGGUGAGAGUGGAAAGCUCAUCAAGUGACGGUAACUACCCAGAAAGGGACGGCUAACUACGUGCCAGCAGCCGCGGUAAUACGUAGGUCCCGAGCGUUGUCCGGAUUUAUUGGGCGUAAAGCGAGCGCAGGUGGUUUAUUAAGUCUGGUGUAAAAGGCAGUGGCUCAACCAUUGUAUGCAUUGGAAACUGGUAGACUUGAGUGCAGGAGAGGAGAGUGGAAUUCCAUGUGUAGCGGUGAAAUGCGUAGAUAUAUGGAGGAACACCGGUGGCGAAAGCGGCUCUCUGGCCUGUAACUGACACUGAGGCUCG
rnacentral:rRNA from 1 species